UACGUAGGGUGCAAGCGUUAAUCGGAAUUACUGGGCGUAAAGCGUGCGCAGGCGGUUCGUUGUGUCGGCGGGGAAAGCCCCGGGCUCAACCUGGGAAUGGCCGUUGAAACUGGCGAACUGGAGUGUGGCAGAGGGGGGUGGAAUUCCGCGUGUAGCAGUGAAAUGCGUAGAGAUGCGGAGGAACACCGAUGGCGAAGGCAGCCCCCUGGGCUGACACUGACGCUCAGGCACGAAAGCGUGGGGAGCAAACAGG
rnacentral:rRNA from 1 species